GUUAUAGACGUUGACGCCUUGGACAACUGUCGUCUACUUCCUUGAUAGGAAAUGAAACGUCAAUCGGUUCAGCGCAAUAGACGUCGGCUCCCCUGGUGUCCGACGUCUAAUGUGCAUUCAAAAAGUCAGAUUGAAAGUUAUCUUUGACGUCAUAUUAGUUAGAUAACAGAUGUCUAUGUGACUAUAGACGUCGGUUUCUGUAGCAAUCGACGCCCCAUUUCAUGUUAAAUAAUUGCAGUUUCUGAUAUCAUCGUCUUCCUCCUCUCCUUUUUCUCUCUUGCAGCUCCUCUCCUUUUUCUCUCUUGCGACAUUGCAUUAUUGUUUCUGAUAAUAUCAUCGUCAUCCUCCUCUCCUUCUUCCCUCUUGCGAUAUUACAUUCCAGGUGCGUAUUUUUUUAUGGUUACCGUUUAAACUUUGUUCAGUCUUUCAUCGAUUAUCUUCUGGUUCAACUGAUUAAAAUUUAUUUUCUUCAUGUUGUGUUUUAGUUCAGUUUUGUUCCUUUCUUGGGGUAACGUAGUACCAC
rnacentral:lncRNA from 1 species